AAUUGAUAUUGAAAUGUGAAAUUUUGUUUUUAUUAACUCUUAAUAUAUGCAGUUUUCAUGAACGAGGUCCUCAUUUUGUUGUCUCUCCCCAUCAGUUAGACUCUUGUCCUGCGUAUGAGAACAUCUCAGACACUGCAGCACAGACAGAAGACCCAGAGGAGCAGGAAGACCUGGUGUGAAGUCCAGUCAGAUGCAGCUGAACCAGAGGCGGGACUCACCUGAUGGAAACAAAGUAGUACGACAUUGAAAUAUCCCUGAGGAGAGCGAGGCUGUGGAGGGUGGGGGGGAAGUGGAUACAUUUACCUUCAACUCCAGAAGAUUUUAUUGUCAGUUUUGAGUAGCAGCAGCAGAAUUACUGAAAAUAUACUGGCCCCAUUUUCAUGAUACCUGGUGAAAGGGUGUAGAUUGGCCCUAGGAAGAAACCAUUACAUUUUGGAGCGGAUCCGAACUACGGUUUUCUAACAACAGAGGAGAGGCAUCUUUAAAGACGACGUCCGUCUUCAUUAGAGAUGAGAGGAGCAGCUAUGAGUUUAACUGCAGCAGCGAGUGGAUUUGUUGU